CCCAGUGGUGGUUGACUUGCCAGAAUCGACGUGACCAAUGACCACAAUGCUGAUGUGAACCUUCUCUUUCCCCAUGGCGACUGUAGCUUAAAGCAAAAAAAACUACCAAUAAAGAAAAGAUAAUUAACAUCAGAUAUAAACUCUGUAAUCUGUAAUAAUUCUUAAAUUAUGAAACAAAAAACAUAUCAGGUGCCACCAAGCAAUCACCAACUUAAUGUAUUUUAGAUGCAUCAGAUAUAUGAAUCAUUUUAAUAUAAAGAACCACUUAGACAUAGGAUAUACAGAUUCUAGUAAAAGAAACAACAUAUUAAAAUUAUUGUUCCAGAUCCAAUUGAAAACAUACGUAACCUGUGUAGAUGAUUAGUUGUAACAGUCAACAACAAGGAAUAUUGAUUCAAACAUUAAACUAGUUAUGAGCCUGAAACUUCUAAUAUCCUUUUUAGCCAUAAAAGAGGAACAAAAAGGUCAACUAAAUGGACCCAUUGCACAAGUGACAACAUAAUUAUUGUACAAUCAAAUACAUGUGACCAAUCUCUAGGCAAUAACUUGGCUAGGACCAUGUGCAACUGCAGUAGCAAUAUAAAUUCAAGGACAGACCUCAGGGAGGUGGAUGUCUCUACCAACUUAAUGACAAAACAUACGAUGUCGUACCAAAUGCAAAUUAUUACUAAUGAUUUUCAGAAAGUAAUGUUCCAUGAAAUGCUAAAUGAAACUUGAAACAUACAAAUGGUACAAACAGGCUAGUAAGAAAUCAAUGCAGAAGACAUCUUAAGCACACAUGAAUACAGGAGUUAAACAUAAUGAAAGCGUACAAUGAUGAAUGAACAUAAGAACCACAUUUGAGUUGUAUGCCACAAAAGCCACUGUUUAUGAAAUUACAUGAAUUUCAAGCUAGAAAAAUAGUAUUAACUAAAACAAGCUUCAGCAAGCAGUAGCUAUUUUAAUUACAGCAUUCAGAUCAACCCUGCAUUAAGGAUUCAUAAACUAGUUCCAUCAACAUUUGAUAAAGCAAGAACGAUUCUAGAGAAGAUCCUUCAAGUAAGAGGGAAUAAUGACAUAUGUCAAAUAAGAUGAGCAGCCCUCUAAACUAUCUAGGUCUGCGCAAUACAUUAGGCAUAUCUCUUGAUGAUAUACUGGCGUGGAGACCGAACUUGGGAAUGUAAUGAAGUCAAUAGCGUCCAAUAGGAUUUGAACCUAUACCCAAGGCCUAAAGAGCCUUCAUCCUUUCCAUUAGACAAUGGACGCUUAAAUCAUUCCCAUGUUCUUUGAUCAAACGAUAUACAGCACACAAAAUUUAAAGACAAUUCUAGUUUCACAUCAGGAUCCCAUGAGAACAGGACAAAAUUCACCAAAGUCAGAAUUUACGUGCUAAAACAAUAAUUAAGUGAGAAAAUGAACAUGAUAUCUAUAGACAAUUUCGCUAAAUUGUUAGAUCUAACAUGCAAGGUACAAAUCACAGAAACGUGUUAACUACUAAAUCCAAGGAUAGGUAAUUACCAUAAACAACCAUAAAAAGCACUGCAGGGGGGCGUAGAAGCGCGCCGAAUUAAAAUCUAGGGUUUAUAUUAAAGGCACAAAGAAAAAGAAACCCCAACCGUGCACAUACUUCGACAAAACUCAUGAAAAGUAAGACAUAAGAGUCUCAAAUGAAUAAAAUCGACGCAACGACUGGAACUCACCUCAGCGAAAAACAAGAAUCAAGAUAACUAUGCCAGCUGAUCGAAAAGGGGACGAGAAUCGCCAAAAUCAAACUCAAAUAUCGAGAAAAACAAGUCAACUUACGAAAAGACUCAUCGUUCCGACACGGUUACAGAUCAAGAACACGCAACAAAGAAACAGAGGCAAAGCAAUGAUCCGCGAUCGGGCGAUUGGAACUCACCUAAUACAGAGGCGGCCGAGAGGUAGCGAAGUGAGUUGCGGAGAUGAGCGACGCCCUCCGCUUCUUUUAAAGACAUCCGGGGGCGUAGUGGCACCUAGGGUUUACUCUUCACCGUCCGAUCCUUGUAUCUGACGGUCCUGAAAGUGUCAUCGUCAGCUCCGUCCGAAUUAAAUCCAACGGUUAGAGAGGGCUCCGAGCAGGAGCACGAAUCGUAUCGCAUAAAAGAGACCUCCUUUCGGUCGUCGGAAACGACAUCAUCGGACGGUGGAGGAUGUCGAGUGGAAUUGGGUAAUAUUAUACAUUAACUUAUUCUCUUUUGUUUUUUCGUUUCAUUUAUUGGAGUUUAUGUUUUGCUCAUUAGUAAGACAAUUUGGAGAUGAUGGUCGCCUAAAAGAUUAAGAAGAUAAUAAGAUAAUGGUAGGGCUAAUUGAUUAUCUCAUAUUAAAUUAAUAAAUUAAAUAAAUCAUAUAUUUUCUAUUCGAGUCUUUCGUAUAAAAAUUAAAAUUUGUCAUGAUAAUAAGAUAAGAGUAUUACUAAUUGAUCAUCAUCUUAUGUUAAAAUAAAAUUUGAAUAAUCAUAUUUUUUUAGUUUCUUAUGAUCCAUCAAUAGUAUAUCAGUUCCAAUAAUAUUUGUCAUAACUCAAUAUGAUAAAAUAACUUAUUUGUUAAUUGAUGAAAUAAUGAUUGAAAAUGUUUAAGCCCAACAAUCAUUCAAUAUUUCAUAAAUUAAUCUUAAUCUUUAAGCAGUUUAGGACAAAAUAACAUAUUUCCACAGCCAAACUUACUAAGCAGCAUGUAAUUGAAAUGUAAGUCCCAUGGAAGCAUGCAUUUACAUUUAACACCACAGAAUGCAAUGGAGUUCCAAAAAUUGGAAUCAUGUAGUAGAAACUUCAAUUAAAUCCUUGUUCAUCACAAAAUAAGAAUUCAUAUAAACAAACCACUCACUUGCAAACAUCUCACUCAAGAUAAAUGGUAAUCAUAGAAUAAACUGACAACAGUUGGUCCUCCACCCAUUUCAUAACUAUCUUCUCCCAGGUUUCAAUGGAGCUGCCUGCUUCUCGUGUUGAUUCUGUCGUGAUCAGGAUCGGACUUCUACAUCCUUCACCAAUGCCAUGUCCACCUUGGGAGGACCUGAGCUCCGUCUCACCGCAGCUGGAGAUGCUGGACUGUAUCUCUCUCCUGUGGGGAAAGACAGCCUCUUCUUCGCAGAAACCACAGAGGAUCUGUCUGCAGACUCAAUGGUGUCAUCUGAAAGGCUCUGGAAGCGGGACUUCGCUCUUGCUGAUUCUGUGGGUGCCAUGUAGCUCGGAACGGCUGGUGAACCAGCUAGGCUCUCAUCGUCUCUCACUGAUGCUGCUGCUAAGCUGUGCCUCCUGGAUCGCUCAGAUUGCAGGCUGACCAUGCUCCUCAAGUCGUCUUCCAAUGGUGCCCAACCACGCUUCGGACUUGCUGAUUUCAUCUUCCCUGUUAACAAUGGUGCCUUCACAGGUGGUGUCGAGGGAGAUUGGCGGCUUGCAGGACGACUUGGUUUCUGGUUUGAUGGUGACGGCUUAUCUGGAUUGGCAUUGCGACAAGCAUAAGCUUUUAAGAUUACCCCACCUCCAUCACUCUGCAUGGUACUCUUGAUGGAGGCACGGUCAUCGUUCGGUUCUCUAUCUGUUGUGCUCCUGGUCUCCCAUGGCCUUGCUGCCAUCCAUCGCUCCAACCAGCUCCAACCCCAUUGUAGGUUAUUGGGGUCCAUAAACAAUGGAUUCACUGGCUUUGAGGAACUCUUCCACUGCUGCACAGCAAAAUUUGGAAGAUAGAAGUAAUUGAUAUUGAAGAAUAUUAUGAAUUCAAAAGAUAUAUGAAAGUUGCUAAGUGGCAACUUUUUUUUAAAAAGAACUGUGGCACUAACAAUUUUAUGAGGAAAUUAUAUUAAUAGUUUUAAACAUUCACAUAGAUGCUAAAUUCCAUUGAUAGAAUGAGCUCAAUUACCUGAUGAGAAAAUGCAUAAGCCAGUGCUCUUUCUCUUCUUAUUGCAGCCUCUUGCUUGCUUAACAGACUUGCCUCAAUCUGUUCUUUUGAUUGCAAACUGUCAUCCCAUUCCUCACCCAUCUGUUAUUAAAAGAGAAAUUAGACAUGGUCCAAAUUUGUAAUUUUUGCUUACUGAAAAUGUUUGAAAGUGUUUUUUUUGCUGUUCUCCAAUAACAUAUAGUGCAAGAAACACAUUUAAAGCGAUGAAUGGUUACAAAAGCAACUUUAUUGGCAAGUAUCAAACAGGAACAGAAUAGAGAAUUAGAUCCUAGCAGUCGAUUUCCUAGCCUCAUUUCUGUUAAUCUUGACUUGUGAAAGCAUAUCUUGAUCAAUCAUGUCCACCAUACAAACAUGUUUCAAGUACUCAUCAAGAACAUAGAAAACAUUGAAUAUGUCUCCCAAUAUCAACGGAUUCUGAAAGCAGCACAUGUGUAGAAAUACACGGACAACCAAUUUUUCUUGUUUUUUUGUUUCAAUUGUGAUGCCUAAUUCAUGGCAUUCAAAUUUUAGUUCUCUAUAAAUCAGUUAUCUGUAUGUAAAAACAUCAAACUUUAUCAAGGUUGCUUCCCAUCUAGUUUGGAUGCAAACAAGUGGCAUGAAAUAUACAACUUUAACAACAUUUAUCGGCAACCCUAUGCAUAGAUGGAUGUAUGCAUAAAGAUGAGUCAUUUUGACCUCGAUAGGAAAACCUGUAAAAGUGAAAUUGUGUAUUCAUUUCAUCUUUUUCUACAUGCAAUUAUAGAUUUAAGCAAUCAACCAUGAGAUCAAAUCAAAAAAUAUAUGUACUAAGCAAUAUAAGUUAAAUAUAAAUGGCUCCAUCAUCCUCCUGAUUAAAUAGAUGUUAAGAAAAGCGAACAAAUUUUGAAUGUGUUCUCAGUUCUGUACAACAAGAAAACUUUGUGCUAAGACAGGAAACAAACAUGGAAUUUGUGAGUUACCUUCAAACUUUCAAGCUCUCUUUCAUGUUUGAGCAGCAUUUGUCGCUGAAGAGCCUGGUUCUCUUCUAGCAUCCUGAUUCUCCUUGAGCGGAUCUGUGAUUGAACCCUUGCCAGGGUCUGCAUGCAUCGUAAUGUGGUUGUAGCCUGACGCUUAACAGUAUCACCAUCAACCAGUGACUUCAACCUAACCAACCCUCUCAAUGCCCGUAGAGCUCUCCUUGCCUUGACACAAGAUUGAAACAAUAGGCAAUUAUGAACAAUUAACUAACUUAAGAAUUUAAAGAAAGAAUUUGUGAAGCUGCAAAUUUGGAUCAGAAUAUUAAGACUGGUGUUUUGGCCAAUCACUUGUAAGCUGAGAUGCAUAAAGUUUGGUUUUGCCUACCUGCACAAUAUAGAAGGGUUACCUUCACACUUUUUGUGUUGUUGGUGAGCUUGAUUAGAUCAUCACAAUCUCAGAUAAAUGGCCAUCGGUAUGGUAAACGGAACACAGCUAUAUGGUAUAAGAUGCAUCGAACAAUUUUGUUGGUCUCAGUACAGUUAUGUAAAGAAAUCUGUGCUGUACAAACAUGGUUUUUCGAGAAAUGAUAAAACAUGCAAGUAUCUGGAUGUUACAGUAGGAGUUGGGACAUGACAUUAAUUGAAGAUCUUAGGAAGCAUAGACACUUAAAGUUAAUCACUUGGACUAACUUGGGUUCAUUUGAAGAUCUUCCAUUUUUGACACACAAGAAUAUUAUCUUAAUUUGACUGUUCACUAAUAAACAACAAACAAACAUAAACAUUGUGCAAUAAGUUUCUUGGAAAGCACAAGUGGAACCCACUAUUGAGUACUAUAUUUGUUCAUAACCCAAAGCCACGCAAGAACUAUGCAAGUUUUGAUAGCUUGCCAUUUUAAAAAUGGCAAGCGAUCCCACUAAAUUUCUUCUGUUGGACAAACUUGCAGGAACUUUGAACUUGUUGAUUGUCUACUACAAAAUGACACUCUAGCAUCAGAAAUGUUAGUGCUUGUUGAGAGCAGAAUUGGAACAGCCUACUGGUACAAAUGCCAUAUUCCGAAUUCCAACAAGUAUAUUAAUCGUUAUAUUGCAACAAGAAUUGAAUCAGCCUACUGGUACAAAUGCCAUGUGAGUUCAAGUACAUAGUAAUUAAGACCUAUAUGUUAUAUUGCAACAGAAGUUAAAAUCUCUAUGAAGGGCAUGAAGAAGAUGUGAAUAAUUUCAUUGUUAUGUGGAGGACAAUGCACCGAGUUCACGUACCAGGUGGCCUCGGAAAGCAGUCUGGAUCUUGAUUGCAGCGAUCUCUUCUGUCGUCUUGCCUGGGUAUUUUGUGGUGCUUUUGAGGCGAAUGAUCUCCCUUGCGGCCUCAGAAGAUGUCACAACAGGUUCAAUGGCAGCAGGAGCGGCAACUGCUGCGGAACAAGCAUGCCUGCUCUGCUCAUUCUCAAUCUCCACUACUUUAUCCUCCUCCGGAUGACGAGGAGGCGGAGGAGGAACUACCUCGGAAGCAGCACGCUCUAAUGAGUCAGCAGGUUUGGAAGUCCCAGAUUCCAGUUUCUUCUUCAAUCUCUGGAAAAAAGAAUGAAUUUUCAGUAAGAGAAGUUUGGUAGAGCAGAUCUGAUCAGCAAAGGAGUGGGGGCAAAAUCCGUACCGCUUCCUUCUUCGCCUUUGAUUCAGGGCUGAAGACCCUCUUCACAGCGCUGAACCACUUCCCCUUCUUCCCCAUGACCCCACUGUUCUUCUUCUUCUUCUUCUCCUUCUUCUUCUUCGAAAUGGAUACUCUAUUAAAAGAAAUUUGAAUCAAGAACCAAAACGAAAUGCAAUCUUCGGAGCCAAGGAAGCCAGAUCCUGAACAAAAACCCGCAAAAAACCUAUCUUUCUCAUAAAGAUCUGAUCUUUUCAACAGAAAAAAGAAAGGUCGCUUCCUCAAGCAAGAACAAAUCUUUUUCCCUUUCUGAAGGCGAAAGAAAUAACAAGUUUCAAGAUCUCCUAAGAAAAAAAGAGUUAUAUACCAAAAUGUAUACUUUCCGUAGCAACGGAGGAAAAGAAUAUGAAUGAAGCACGAGUUGAAUCGAACAGGCAAAAACCAAUCCACGGAAUAGAAACAUGUUGAAGGAGUAGAUCAUUGGAUGCGAAGUGGAAUGAGCUGAACACCUUGGAAACCCUCGAUCUCUCCCUCUCUCUGGCCUCAGCAACGGACACCGAACACAACCGGACAAAAGAGUCAAAACGAACUCGCGACGACUAAAUCAAUCGCUUCGUUCUCCGCCACUCCGUGCGAGAAGGAGAGAGACCGGACCGAUCCCAGAUGAGAAUACUAGAUCUGCGUGGAGAACGAGCGAGCGAGCGAGCGACCAACGGAAGGACGGCGGGCCCACAGAAGGGUCCCACCGAGAUGUAAUGAACCUACCUCCCCUCGUGAUCGGGAGUGGCGGCGGGUCCCACACGGGGCCCAUGUCGCAGAGGCAGUUGGGUGAGGUGCGCAGGCGACGGAAACAGAGCAGCUCCGUCGUCAUCCAAAUAGUUGGAUCGGGUAACCGCCCGCCCAGGGGUGAGGUUUCCGACACUGGUGACGUGGCAGGAAACGAUUGCGCAAAGGGGAUUUAGCGAGCUGGAGAGAGAGAUGACGCGCUUCGCGGUGCGCACAUCGGCACUCACCGUCGAGAACGAUCGAGCACGAAACCUGUGAGCUUAUACAUCUAAUGUUGGAAACAGGGAAGCUGCGUGUGACCAACGGAUGAAGUCAGUAACUCACGGUGCAACUUCCACUCCACCAAACCAUAUGAAUUCCUCCCUCUCUCUCUCUCUCUCUGCUUUCAUGGAAGGCUGUGAUCUGUGAGAGCAGCAGCAGCACUGGCGUUGCAUGACUUCGAAGCAAUGCUUGAUUCACAUGCCUUGUCAAACGUCACAUGGACGAUGUGACAGAUUAUUAAUGAAACAUUAAAAAGAGUCUUUCCUUUUCAUGAUUACUGCUGUACAGCAUUCAAUUUGUGCGGUUUCUUUCAUAGCAUGGGUUGACAAACCAAAUUAAGAUAAGCGUUUCUGUGAUCUUGAAAGCAGGUGAGGGUGCAGAUCUGGAUUCCAGAUUGGAAAUAAUAACAUGUAACCUCUUGUUUCCAGCCUUUUCGAGCUGGUGAUCUGCAGUAUGAACCAGCAAAUUUUGGGUAGUAUUUGCUAUUAUUUGAUUGCAUUGCAGCAAAAUUGAGAACAGAUGGGUUAUGACUGUCUCCUAUCAUUCAUAUGAUCUUGCAGAAUUGUCUGGGCAUUAUCUCUUUCUUUUGUUGAAGAGCACUACAUCUCUUUAAUUUUGUGAUUUAGUUAAUAAUUAAUGUAACUAAAUUUCAUGUCAUCAAUCAUCUGAGAGAAAUACUUGCUUUCAUAAAUGUCAAACAACAUCAUGAGUUGCUACUAUUAACCUAUACAUUUAUUUCAUGGAUUGGUUGGAUGCUGCAUUUUAUUAGGCCUUGUCUCUGAGGAGCCUUUUCUGAGACUCACAACUAGUAUUGUUUGUGAGUCACCAUGCCCAAUGAUAAGCCCCAAAGUCCAUAUCCAACUUCUCCACCAGGUCAGAUCUCAUGACUAAACUCAAGAUCACUUGCAGCAACUCUGGGAAAUUAUGAUGCUAAAGACUCUUUUCAGAUAGUAUCAUUAACCUGCAAUCCAUAUCAAAUAUUAAGAACAGAGCUUCUAUCUAUAUGUAAUUUGAAGAGGUCUAGUGUGUGCAAGAGAUUAUUUUCAUGGCUCGAAUUCAAACCAUGUUAUUUUAAGACUAUUUAAGAAAGAUAAUUUCAUGCUCAGACCAUGCAACUUGACUGGAUCUGACCCUGUGGAAUGCCUGUCUUAUACUGAUUCUAUCAGAAAGUUUGAAAUGCAUGUUUGGCACUGAGAUAACUCUGUAAAAUUUUUCUGGCACUGAGAAAACUGGGGUUUUUGGUGCACUGAAGUAUUGUAGGGAAAAAAAAUAAGGUUUCUUGGAAUUCAAAGCUAAAAUGUUGUGACAGUUGGACACUGGAUUUGAUGAUUUUCUUGCAAUAACUGUCUGGGUUUAAAUUCUAAAGAAAUACACAUUAAAGAGACUAUUACUACUAAAUGCUAACUCAUAUCAAGACACAAGAAAAACAACUAUCAGCCACUAAGGCUGAAGUCUCAAUGUUUAAAAGAAAUAUAACAAACAACAUAUUCCUUUGUGAAGAAAAAUAAUGAUAACUAGUUCUGCAAGCUUCACAUGAUUCUUAGACAAGUUAAACAUGGAUUAUACAAACUGCUGAAUCACUAUUCAUGUGAAUGAAGUUCCAUACAAGCAAGAGGACAAGUCUUGUUUUCUGGUAACACAAACAACAUUUCAACUAAGGAAAAAUGAGAUCACCCACUGUCUUCUGUUUGAUUGUGUUGAACAUAAAAGAUAACUGAUACAAAUAGAACUGUCACAUAGAGACAAAUCAAGCCAACUGGAAUUUGAUGGAGCCUCUUCUCUUCCUUCGGCAACUUGAAGCCAAUCAUCAACUGCUGGAGGUAGGAGCACAAACUUUCAUUAACAAACCUUCAAGCAUCCAUUAUGUUUAUAUUGUAUAGCAACAGCUCUAAUCUACAGACCUGUCUAGAACUGGAACCUGCUAGGUCUUGCUUUACUCAUCCUGUUCUCUCCGAAGGGCUCAUCGUUGUCGAUCCUUUUUGCGUUUCUGAAUGCGGCACAACCAAUGACGUACACGAUCACGAGGAUGACGAGCACAACAAUGUUAAUCACGGAGACCUUCCUCCAGUUAUGCCUGAUGCUCGCGAGAACCCCGGCCUUGCAUGAUCCACACUGGUAGCACAGUGAAUGUUGCUCGUUGCUCCACCUGGUGCAGUCAAUGUCAUUCACCACAGUCCCUGGUUGUGCAGUCCAGUAUGUCUCAUUUACGUAUGUAAACCCACACGAAGUGGGAGGCUUACAACACCCAGACUGCAUCGUUGAGAACCAACACAAUCGAGAAAAUGAACAUUGGUAAAGAAAAAAAAAGUCAUCAACUCCUUAGAGAAAAUACGUUAUAAAUGUAGCUGGUAAUGACAAUAUCUUUCAGUUAACAGUUAAGGUAGAUGCUAAACAAAUGUUAUACAACAUACUUGAGAUACAACUUUUGAUUAAAGAAAUUGAGCAGAAAGCAAUAAACUAUUCGGGAAUGGCACUCAAGCAAUAAGAAAGUUAAAAGUCCACUGAAACAGAUUAUACUUGAUGUUUAUUAAAUAUCUUGUGAAAUUAAAAGGGCUCAUUCAAUUCCAUUUAAAUUGGUGUAGAUCCUCUACAACUAUGAUUUUUGUAGAUUCUCCGCGGCCCGGUCCCUGGCAAUGUUUGUUUGGUCAAAAUGCAAUCCAAUCAGUCGGGGAACUAUUAGGGGGUAAAACAACCAAGAAAGCGGAUGAAUAAUAAGUUUCCAUCUAUUGAGGUCAUAGAGAUUAACAAUUUGGGAUUGGGAAGACCCGUAAUACCUAAACCAGAGGGAGUACUCUCCUCUGGAUAAGGUAAGUAGAAGACUAGCAAUUGGAGAACCAACCAAAGUCUUCAAUGGGGAUAGUGUGGGGUAGGAGAUGGAAAGGAGCAUUCAAGGACAGGAAUGGCCACCCACUCCAAAAUAACAUGUGCUGUUGGUUCUUUAUAAUUACCACAAGUUGUAGAUCUUCCAUGAUACCCACUUAAUUUCUGUGUUCUAUCUUCUCCCUUGGUCCCACUACAGGGGAAAAGAUAAAAUAAAGACCUCAUCCUCAAUCAUGUAGCCAUGGUGGUUCUCCUUUUUGUCGACUAGGAAAAGAAGAAAGUAGAUAAAAGAUCUGUUGCUGUCAUAUGGUGCAGCUCUAGUGAUCCCUGAGGACUUUUCUGCACAACAGGGUUUUCUAUCAGCACAUGAACAAAGAUGUCUUUUUCUGUCUACAUCUGUUGUUUCCUUUGCUGUUAAUUUUUCUUUGAUUCUUAAGAAUCAUUUAAGAAGGCAGGAUGCAGCUUAUUGUUUGUGUUGUUAAGCUUUGAUAUAAUCCUCCAACUUUAUUUACAUAUCAAUAAAGAUGAGCAUAGAUAAUCUUUGAAGGGGAAUCUGAAACCUGAACUAGAAAAAGGCAAACAAAAAGAACUUGCCAGAAGGGCAGUCUGCCAUCUACAUAUAUUGCUUGGAGGCAAACAUA
rnacentral:lncRNA from 1 species